CUUCUCACGUGUGGAUUGCUGUAUAAGUGGAAUGCGCUUUUGUAUAAAUAAACAAAACAAACAAUUUUGUUGCAGAUAUCUAGAGCUGGCAAAGAUCCUUUUACUGUCUGAAAAGCAAGGGCUGAUGGAUAACAUAUCUCUUCAGGCUGAUGAGGUGCAAGCACUCUCCUCCAUUUAUGAGCAAGAGUGGAAAGUGGUCAGUGAGUCUUCCAGAAUAUAUUCUGUCUCCAUUGUGCAUGGAGGCAAAAGCAUUACUCUUGAGAUGACACUGACCCCUGGCUACCCAUCCGAGUCGCCGCCGCAGUACGAGCUACUGGCGCCGUGGCUGCGCGGCGACCUCAGGAACACGCUGGCCGCCCACCUCGAUGGCAUUUACUGUGAUAACAUUGGUUCUAGCAUAUUGUACCUGUGGAUCGAGCGUGUUCGAGAGUUUCUGGAGGAGCUCCAAGAAACGGCGCCUGAUAUUGAGGAGAGUGUCUCCUCGGCGGCUGUGUCUCCCCCGCCCACCAUCGAGGCGGACCUGUCACCGUGCCCGGAGAUCAUCCAUGGCGAGUGUAUUGUGGACCGGAAGAGCGUGUUCCAGGCGCACUGUGCGCCCGUCGUCACCGUCCAACAGGUCCAUCAGGUGAUAGCCAGUCUCAAGGAGUGCAGGAAGAUUGCCUCGGCCACACACAACAUGUGGGCGUACCGCAUACAGGGCGCGGCCAGCGGCGCAUUCCUGCAGGACUGCGACGACGACGGCGAGACGCACGCCGGCGGACGGAUGCUGCACCUGCUGGAGAUUGUCGGCGUUCAGAACUGGGUGGUUGUGGUCACUCGAUGGUAUGGCGGCAUACAGCUGGGACCCGACCGAUUCCGGCAUAUCAAUAACGCCACACGAAACGUGCUGCAGCUCAGUGGCGCCAUCUCGCCGCCAGAUGAAAAGAAGAAACGCAAAACAUGACGACAGAUGGCAGAAUGAAGUGCACACUGCGUGCGCCGUGCAUCCAAUGACCUUAACUGUGAUUUGAGAGCUGACUUAUGUGGGGUGUUUUGUGCGUGUUUUGUACUGAAAUGUGAAAUAGUAUCCACGUGUUGGGUACGAGUUAUCUUUGCAUCUUUGUGGCACAUCGAUGGUUUUAAUCGUUUGAUAACGUGACAAACGCCGUCGACUACAUCAAAUAAUACCGUUUUUGUGUCCGUCAGCGCCGUGCAGUGCAAGGUUAUUGUGCAUGGUACAGAGGUGAACUGUCUGCCCCCAACGGAUAACGACGUGGUUCUGUGAAUAAACCAUACUGGAUCACGGAA
rnacentral:misc_RNA from 1 species